rnacentral:lncRNA from 1 species
GGUUGUGUCGAUGCUCCACUUAUCAUUUCUUCACAAUCACAUGGUAGUGGCAAAGCCACUGGUUUGACCUUCUUUGCUAUUGAUUUAUACUUAGUUUCAACAUAUACCUCUUGACGACUUAAAUUUUCUUUAAAUCCUUGAAUUUCAUCAUAAAAUUCUUUAGAACACACAUUAAUAACUCUAUUCUCUACUUGUAACCUACAUUGUAAUAGAUAAUUUAAUUCCCCUAUAGUAUCUGCAAAAC